CCAUAUCAAAACCAUUUCCCAUGGCUGAAUCACUCCUCUUUGGUCUUGCUGAGUCAUUCAUCGCUAAGAUUGCUUCUCGUGCUGUUCAAGAAGCAUCUCUUGCUCUUGGUGUCUAUGACGAUCUACGAGAUAUCAAAAACACCGUAUCACUCAUCAAAGCUGUGCUCCUAGAUGCCGAACAAAAGCAGCGGCAGAAUCAUCAACUCCGUGAAUGGCUGCGACAGAUCAAGCGUGUCUUCAAUGAUGCAGAAGACAUAAUUGAUGAUUUUGAGUGCGAGGUAUUAAGAAAGCACGUUGUCAACACUUCAGGUAGCUUCACAAGGAAGGUAUGUCGUUAUUGCUCAAGUUCUAAUCCUAUUGUUUAUCGCAUUAAAAUGGCUCAUCAAAUCAAAGAUAUUAAAGAAAGAUUCAAUAAGGUUGCUGUUGAAAGGCUUAAUUUUGGCCUUCAAAUCAAUGAAANNNUUGGCCUUCAAAUCAAUGAAAGUGAUAAUCGCAUUGUGCAAACGCGGGAAAUGACUCAUUCCCAUGUCAAUGAAUCCGAUGUGAUCGGAAGGGAACAUGACAAACAAAAAAUCACUGACCUCUUAUUGCAAGAUGGUGGUGAUAAAAAUCUCUCUGUUAUUCCUAUUGUUGGAAUUGGAGGCUUGGGAAAGACUACUCUUGCAAAAUGUGUAUGUAAUGAUAAGAGUGUAGUUCAGUCUUUUCCAUUGAAGAUGUGGGUAUGUGUUUCUGAUGAUUUUGAACUUAAGCACGUGCUCCUAAAACUCCUUUACUCUGCUAGUGCUUUUGAUCCCAGCCCAAUUCACCAAGAGAACUUCAGAAACUUCGAUGUGGACCAACUACAAAAUCAUCUAAGAAACAUACUUGCUGGUCAAAAGUUCUUGCUCAUAUUGGAUGAUGUAUGGAAUGAGGAUCGUUUUAAAUGGGAAGAAUUGAAAGACAUAAUACAAGGAGUCACAGGUGCUGAAGGAAGUAAAGUCUUAGUGACUACUCGCAGCCACACUGUAGCUAACAUGAUGGGUACUU
rnacentral:lncRNA from 1 species